rnacentral:lncRNA from 1 species
CAUCCACUAUAAACAAGACUAAACGUAGUUGUGCUAGGGUAAAAGUUCAAAUUGAUCUACUAUCAAAAAUUCCUGAUUAUUUGGAGCUUAAAAUUGGUAAUGAGAAAACAAAGAAAUCAAGAAUAGAAAAAAUUACUACCAAUUAUCAUUUCUUGUCUAAGUAUUGUAAAGAGUGCAAACUCCAAGGUCAUCGUGAAUCGGAGUGUAGAUUUCCACAUCCAGAUCUGAGACCAUCAUAUGAAGAAGAGAAAGUUAAGAAAGAUCAUAGCCAGAAUAUGGAUACUGGAGGUAGCAAGACAAGGUUUAAGGAUGGAAGAAGAAAUAGAUAAAAUUUACACUGGAAUCCUACCAGGUGCAGGCUUAUUAAUAAUGAUUUCUUAAGUGAAAAAGCAUUGACACAAAAGAAAUGAUUACCUGAUACUAAUCUUUUUAUUGCAUUGGGAGAAAUGGAGGAUGAAACUUUAAAAAAUAAUAAUCAGUCAACACUCUCACUAAUAUCAAAGUGGAAUACAAAGAAGAAAAAUAAUAAAUUAAGGACUGGGUGACCAAGUCUUUCCAUGAUCUGUCAUCUAAGAGAGUAAAAUCACUGAAAGAAUGACCUACCAGAGAAGAACAAGAAACUGAAACUCAAUUAGUAAAGUUAGACAAGGAGCAUAGUGUGGAAGUUACAGAUACAGAGGUGAAUCCUACAGCAAUAAUGAUUUAAAGGGAAGUAAAUUCUCAUACAGUGCAAUAAAAAUCUUUAGAUCAAUGAGCUAAUAUUAAAUCCUAGAGCUCAAUAGCAGUAAAAAAAUCAUUUGAUGUUGUGAAUCAAUUAAAGUAGUUUGAGUAGUCUCAAAGCCAAAGUAAAGGGUGAAGAGUAACUGUGAGAAUGUGAUAUCAACAAUAAUUUCAUCAUCUACAAGAUCAAAGGUGAAAGAAGGUCAACAGGAUAAUGAAAGGCAAAACAUAACCUCUAAUGAGGAGAAUUAGUUAGCUGUAGUGGACAUCCCUUUGGAUAUUCAUGAGUCUUUGGUUUAGGGUGUGACUCAACAUCAUAACUCUCUCCAUGUAUCAUAAUAUAGAAAUUAAUGAUGGAGUUAAGCGAAUUGAGGAUAAAUAAAUUAGUGGAAGUAGUGAGCAUGACAUAAUCAAGCAAGGGGAUUUAUCUCCCAGAGUAAUUAAGGAUAGUAAGGCUGGAAGGAAAUCAAAGAAGCUGAAUAAUGAAGAAGAUUCUAUACCUAUAAGAGUUCAACUGAAGAAGAGUGGCGUCUCAAAAUAAUCAAAGUACAAAUAAAGGCUUUAGUAUGGAAUAUCAGAUCUGUGUAAGUCACAAAAGGAUUUUCAAGGGUUCAAUUACUGCAUAAGUUUCAUAAGUUUGAUUUCAUUGCCUUAAUGUAGCCUUUUCAACAUAUAAGAACUAUCCAAAGGUACAAGAAUAGAAUACAUAUGCCUAUAGCUUAUUACAAUUAUUCAGGAAGGAUAUGAUUCUUUGUUAAUCAUGGUUUAAAUGGUAAUAUUAUCAGUGAUACAAAAUAAUAGAUAACAUGUCAUUUGACUGAUAUAACCACAGGUUUGCGUUUUCUAUUGACAGCUGUGUAUGCUAAAUAUGAUAUGUAUAAAAAAUUAGUGCUUUGGGACGAUCUACUUAUUGUUGCUAAUGCCAAUUCAAAACCUUUGGUAAUUGGGGGAGAUUUUAAUGUUGUUCUUAAUAGUGUUGAAAAAAUUGGAGGUAAUCUUGUGAUAUUUGUUGAUGUAGAAGAUUUUCAUCACUGUAAAGAAGUUUGUGGUAUUGUUCAAGUGAUUUAUAAGGGCAACCCUUUUACUUGAUGAAAUGGGAGAAGAGGAGCUGAUUGUACUUUUUAAUGGUUAGAUAGAGCCUUUGUUAACUCUGAAUUUUAAAAUUUGUUUUCACACUUAGAAAUAGAGCAUUUUCCAAGAGAUGGAUCAGAUCAUGUCCCUCUUUUUCUUAAAUAUGAAAAUAAUAAUACUACAAUUAAUAAACUUUUAGGUUUCUAAAUUCUUGGACCCUACAUAUAGAGUUUAAGGAAGUGGUUAGGAGUAGUUGGGAUACUAAUUAUCAGAAUAAUCCUUUUUCAGAUUUCAAAAAAAGAUCUAGCAAGUGAAAUAUGUUAUCUCUAAGUGGAGUCAACAAUUUUAUGGUGAUAUUAUUCAACAACUACACAUUUGAGAGAAAAUUGCUAGAAUAAAUGAGACGCUAUUUAAAUAUAAUCCUAUCUUGAGAAUCAGAUUGUUAUGUAGAAGGAAAAAGUUAAAUUUAUCAAAUAUCUUCAAAUAGAAGAGUGUUCUUAAAAACAGAAAGUAGGGUAUGACUGUUUGAAAGUGGGGACAUAAAUACCAACUUUUUUUAUAAUAUUAUCAAAGGAGGGAGAAAUAGGUUCAAGAUUUAUAGAAUAUUAAAUGAUCAGGUGAUCAAAUAGAUGAAGAGGCUAUUCAGUUUUUUAAGAAUAAAUUUACUCAAGAAAGAGAUACAACAACCUUCCCACUAAUUGAAUAUGUCCCUAAGUUGGUGAAUAAUGAAGAUAAUGAGAUACUACAAGCUAUUCCAGAAAAGGAAUAAACGAAGAAGGCAAUGUUUAAUUUGAAUGGAGAUAGUGCAAGUAAACCAAAUGGUUUAACUGGGACAUUUUAUUAGACAUUCUGAGAUAUAGUUGGUGAAUAUGUAGUCAGACCGGUAUUGAAAUUUUUUGUAGGAAAUUCACUCCCUAAAUCUAUUACUCACUCUAAUUUUGUUCUCAUUCCAAAAAUAUAUGAUAUUCAAUCUUUCUUAGAUUCGAGAUGAAUUAGCUUGAGGUAUUUUAUGAGUAAGAUUCUAUCCAUAAUUAUGCAUGACAAAUUGGAAAGCAUUCUUCCUAGAUUGAUCUCCCUAAUCAUUCAGGCUUUAUUAAAUGGAGAAGUAUCAUAGAGAAUGUUGUAUUAACACAGAAAUUGAUUGCAGAUAUUUGAAAAGAUGGAAAAACUUCUAAUGUAGUCAUGAAAUUAGAUAUGGCCAAAGCUUAUAAUAGAGUCUCUUAGUUCUUUCUAAUGAAAGUGAUGAGGAAGAUGGGGUUUGCUGACAAUGUUGUUGAUAUAAUUUGGAGAUUAAUUUCUAAUAAUUAGUACUACAUACUAUUGAAUGGUCAAUUAGUGUGUUUCUUUUAUUUAACUAUAGGGUGAAAAAAAGAGACCCUUUAUCUCCCACUUUGUUUAUUUUUUCAUCAGAAGUGAUGUCAAGGUUCUUUAAUCAUUUGUUUGAUGAUAUUUGGUUUACUGGUUAUGGAAUGCUUAAAUAGAGAUCCAAUUUGAAUCAUUAGUCUUAUGCAGAUGAUACAUUUACAUUCUCCACUCAUCAAUAUUCCUUGGAGAGUAUAAUGCAAGUGUUAAGAGAAUAUGAGACUAAAUCUGGCCAGAAGGUGAAUAUGAACAAAAGUUUCUUUUAUAUGCAUUAGAAAGCAUCAAUGGGUGAAGUUCAAAUAGUGGAACAGAUAUUGGUAUGAAAUAAGGCAGUUUUUCAAUUAAAUAUCUUGGUUGUCCUUUGACUCAUUCAAAGAGGAACAAAGAAUAUUUUGCAAAAUUAAUCAAAAUGGUUCAGAGCAAACUCCAAGCAUUGAAUAGAAUAUUAUUAUAUAGAGGGAAGGAGGUUCUAAUUAAAAGCAUUCUUCAAAGCAUACCUAUUUAUAUUCCUUUUUUCUCUAGGUCCUUCCAAAAGCUCAUCAAAUAUCUACAUAGGAUCUUUGCUAAAUUUUUUCGGAACAAUAAGGAAUCAGGAAGGGAAAAGCAUUGGGCCGCUUGGGAUAAUGUAUUUUACCCAAAAAUGAAGGGGGUUUGGAUUUUAGAUGUCUGAAAGAUAUCUCUUUGGAUUUAAAUGCUACACUAUGAUGGAGGUUUAGGAAUUAAAGAAAUCUGUGGGCAAACUUUUCAUGAAAUAAGUAUUGUAAAAAAUAAUUUCCUACCAUGGUGACCUUGAGAGGAGGAACACAAGUCUGGAAAUCCAUGUUGAAUGCUAGGGACAAGGUGGAAUAGUUUUUGUUGUGGGAACCUAAAAGUGUACAUCCGUAAUUUGUUUGAUAAUUAGACCAGUUCUGGUCCUCUAUUUAAACAACAAUCUAAUGUCUCUACAUAUUACCCUCUAAAAGACAAUGCAAUAUUUAUGAGGGAGGAUGGAUAUAAUUAUAAAGUUAUGGAGAAUGAGAUUUCGGAUAUCAUGGUGUAAUAGGUUGGGGACACUUAGGUUGUUUAUGCUAUAAUAAGGAGAUGGAUAAACUUUGGUGGACUAGAAAUAGCAAGGGUAUAUUUACUACUAAAAGUGCUUCGGAAUUAUUUAGGAACAAAGAAGAGGAGAAAGAAUAUUUGAAGUCCAUCUGGAUUAAAGAAGGCCUUUUAAAUAAUCCUUUAUGACUUGUAGUAUAUGGAACUCUUAUAUUCCAGUUGCAGUAGUCAUGCAUCAGUGGAAUUCUGAGAUUGAUGAAAGGUGUGGCUGUUGUACAGAACCACAAGUAGAAUCUAUUCAACAUCUAUUCCUCUAGGGAGAAGUAGCUGAAAUGGUAUGGAAUUUAUUCUGUAAUGCAGUUAGUAUUGUAGAGCAUAGACUAAAUUUGGUGUAGAGUGUCAAGCUAUGGAGGAAAGGGAAUGGCGAUCAUAAAUUUAUGACAGUGUUUUAUGUUGUUCUAUUGUUUAUGUUUUAGUUUCUAUGGAAAAGAAGGAAUACUAUAUUGCAUAAUGGUAGAUAUAAGGAUAGAAAUAUUACUUGGGACACUACUAAUUCUAUCAUUAGUUUAUCAAACUCAGAUUUCACAUGGAGUUGCAUGGAAAAAAUUGGGUUGAAAUUAUUUAUAUUUUGCAUAGUUAUGGAGAUUCAUACUUCUUAAAGUGAUUAAGUGAAAACCUUAAAAAACUGGCUGGUUUAAAGGCAACCUUGAUGGUUCCUCACAAGGAAAUCUAGGUCUAAUCUCCAUUGCUUUCUAUAUAGGAGAUAAUCUGGGAGAUCUAAUUGUUGCACAGGGGUGUAGAAUAAAGGAUAGAAAUAGUUUUAUGGCUGAGGCAUUAGCUAUACAAAAUUGUUUACAAUAUUGUUCUAUAAAUAAUCUAAGGCAGGUUAUUAUGGAAACAAAUUCUUGGAGCAUGUUCCAAAUACUGAAGGGUGAAUGGGAAGUCCCAUAGAGUGUGACAAUGGUGGUCAACUCCAUUUGAACUCUGAUGGAAUAUCUAAAAGUUAGAGUGAUAUAUUCCCUUAGGGAAGGUAACACUCUAGAUGAUUUUUUUUUGCUAAUCUAGUUUUUGUUUUUGUAGGUAAUUUUGAAUUCAAUAACAUUGCACAAUUUCUGAUUUAAGCAAGAACAAUAAUCCAAUUGGAAAAACUUGGAAUUCCUAAUAUUAGGAGGAUCAACAAGGCACAAGAAGAACAAACACCAAGUUGAUUCAAAAGGAAGAAAGGAUUUAAAUUUUCAUUUAAAAGGAUAGUCACAAGUAGAGAGAAGAAGUUAGAACAGUUACCUGUUGCUGGGAGUGAAUUCCACAAAACAUUCCACGUACGUCUAGUGAGAAUUUGGGAUGGUGAAGGCUAGAUAUUCAAAUAACAGUAGCAACAGAUCUACCAUGGACUUCGAUUUAGAAAUGAAUAGAUUAUCUAUAUGAAGAUGAGGAUUAAUAGUUUUAAAAAAUCCUUUAACUCAUUAAUUUAAUCAUUGUAGCUCAGGUGGUGGUAUCAGCUUCAAUUGAAGCAAAACCCAUCGAGCUACAUGAUUGAAGAACAUAAGAAAAAGGAUUGAGGUACUUAGAUGAGGCAAAUCAGUGAGGAUUUGAGCUAGAAACAACACAACAUCAUCGAUUUCAACAAGGGAUUUUCUUGGAUUUUAACAGCAGCGGAGGAUGAUGAAGAGUUGCUCUACUGUUGAUUUGAAAUGUGAUUAGGGUCUCUUGUUUCAUAAUUUGUUUAGCUUCUUUUGAUUUAGAUUGUCGGGUUGGGCCGGGACAAUUUUGGGCCUGAAUAUUGUGAAGAUUUGAUUUAUUUGGUUUUAAUAAAUAGGUUGAUGCCCGAAACUUUAAUUAAG